rnacentral:rRNA from 1 species
CAGCCGCCGCGGUAAUACGGAGGGGGCUAGCGUUGUUCGGAAUUACUGGGCGUAAAGCGUACGUAGGCGGCUUUGUAAGUUAGAGGUGAAAGCCUGGUGCUCAACACCAGAACUGCCUUUAAGACUGCAUCGCUUGAACGUCGGAGAGGUGAGUGGAAUUCCGAGUGUAGAGGUGAAAUUCGUAGAUAUUCGGAAGAACACCAGUGGCGAAGGCGGCUCACUGGACGACUGUUGACGCUGAGGUACGAAAGCGUGGGGAGCAAACAGGAUUAGAUACCCCAGUAGUCCCUGUCUCUUAUAC